GCCCAGAUGGCGGAAUUGGUAGACGCGCUAGGUUCAGGUCCUAGUGAGGGAAACUUUGUGGAGGUUCGAGUCCUCUUUUGGGCA
rnacentral:tRNA from 1 species